rnacentral:rRNA from 1 species
UGGGGGAAUAUUGCACAAUGGGGGGAAACCCUGAUGCAGCGACGCCGCGUGAGUGAGGAAGUAUUUCGGUAUGUAAAGCUCUGUCCUCAAGGAAGAUAAUGACGGUACUUGAGGAGGAAGCCCCGGCUAACUACGUGCCAGCAGCCGCGGUAAUACGUAGGGGGCUAGCGUUAUCCGGAUUUACUGGGCGUAAAGGGUGCGUAGGUGGUUUCUUAAGUCAGGAGUGAAAGGCUACGGCUCAACCGUAGUAAGCUCUUGAAACUGGGAAACUUGAGUGCAGGAGAGGAAAGUGGAAUUCCUAGUGUAGCGGUGAAAUGCGUAGAUAUUAGGAGGAACACCAGUAGCGAAGGCGGCUUUCUGGACUGUAACUGACACUGAGGCACGAAAGCGUGGGGAGCAAACAGGAUUAGAUACCCUGGUAGU